UUAAAUUGAAGAGUUUGAUCAUGGCUCAGAUUGAACGCUGGCGGCAGGCUUAACACAUGCAAGUCGAACGGUAACAUGAGUGCUUGCACUUGAUGACGAGUGGCGGACGGGUGAGUAAAGUAUGGGGAUCUGCCGAAUGGAGGGGGACAACAGUUGGAAACGACUGCUAAUACCGCAUAAUGUUGAGAGACCAAAGCAUGGGACUUUCGGGCCAUGCGCCAUUUGAUGAACCCAUAUGGGAUUAGCUAGUUGGUGGGGUAAGGGCUCACCAAGGCGACGAUCUCUAGCUGGUCUGAGAGGAUGACCAGCCACACUGGAACUGAGACACGGUCCAGACUCCUACGGGAGGCAGCAGUGGGGAAUAUUGCACAAUGGGGGGAACCCUGAUGCAGCCAUGCCGCGUGUAUGAAGAAGGCCUUCGGGUUGUAAAGUACUUUCGGUAGUGAGGAAGGUGGUGUAUCUAAUAGGUGCAUCAAUUGACGUUAAUUACAGAAGAAGCACCGGCUAACUCCGUGCCAGCAGCCGCGGUAAUACGGAGGGUGCGAGCGUUAAUCGGAAUGACUGGGCGUAAAGGGCAUGUAGGCGGAUAAUUAAGUUAGGUGUGAAAGCCCUGGGCUCAACCUAGGAAUUGCACUUAAAACUGGUUAUCUGGAGUAUUGUAGAGGAAGGUAGAAUUCCACGUGUAGCGGUGAAAUGCGUAGAGAUGUGGAGGAAUACCGGUGGCGAAGGCGGCCUUCUGGACAGAUACUGACGCUGAGAUGCGAAAGCGUGGGGAGC
rnacentral:rRNA from 1 species